CACCGGAGUAACCAUCUGAGCAUACUUUCUGUUCCAAACCCUAGCGGGCUGUAUUUAAAGGCAACGCUUCUGACCUGAGGUCUGUUCUCAAGACUCAGAUGAGACUUUCCCAUUUGCUCUCCAUUUAUUCUCAAUGACGUCUAUGAGAAAUAACCGAGAGACAUCUCAUCUGUGAUUUGUCUUAUGGGUCAAUGAGUGAUGUCAUGUGAUGUAUGAAUAGUAUUUAAACAUUCAGUGUAAUGAGAAAGUGAUGUGUUUCAAGCUACUUUACGCCCUUACUGUCUAAAAACACAAGUCACUCAAGAUGGUGCAAUAAUAAUCAUAAUGUCCAGCACAGAACCAGACAGACGGCACACAAAUCUUAAACAACAGUGGCGGUGGGCCGAUGAAAGAGACUUCUGGGGGUUUGAAAGUUCACAGCAGUGCUCGAGAAAUCUCCAGCAUCCGCUGCAUGGGGUUGAAUGAGCGAGAGAUAUUUUAAAUUGCAUCUGGACCUGUGGGGGUUCAGUCGCAUCGCCGUUGGAGGAUUUGCUCGAAAUCAAACAUUAUUCUGUCAGACUGCCUCUGCGAGCGAUAUGAUUGAUAUGACGGUAAGCAGGUGCGUCCUGCUUACCGCAGGGUGAUUUUGAACACAAAAAAUAAACAUGCAGUAUUUACUCAUCCAUCUGAGGGACGUUCAAAUGACAUUUACAGUUUGGCCAACAUCACAACCAGGGGCGGACUGACAGGUAGGACAUUCUGUCAAAGUCCCGAAAGACUGUCCCCCCCGCCGGCCUACGGCUUUGACCAGGGCCAUCUGGAGUACCGGAACUUUUCCUGUUGGGCCACUAACGUGUGGGGCUGGAAUGGACGCUUGGGGUGGACAAACAGACGUAAUAAUGCACGUUUAGGGAUUAGUAAGAAGACACGUACAGCAUGCAUGUAACGCAAUGACACGUAACAUACAUUUUAAUUCUGAAAUGACUGUUUACACUUUUGGCCCGAUUCACAUUUCACGUGAUUUCUGUGAAAGCGCACUUUAAAAGUAGACGCGCGGUAGGCACAUUUUUCUUGGCGUGCUGGCGCCUUAUCGAGAUGAAAAUAGUUAGAUUUUUCAGAGUGCCGCGUUUUCCGCGUGGUUUUAGAGGCGAAAUGUAAACCAGGCCUUAAGAAAUACGACAGUAAUAUACAUGUAUUUAGGAUAAGAUCUAACUUACAUAUUAAUGUGAAAACCAGGAUUUUUCUCAGUUUUUUCAUGCUGUCAGUCUGUUGGAUUACUUUAUGUCAGUCCUGAGGUUUGAUUUUUUUUUUAAUUUAACAGACACUGAACUGAAUGAUCACAAUACAUCUAAAAAUAUAAAUUAAAUAAACAUCUGGAAUGCUCUCUUCAUUUUUUCCAACUGUAUAUGGGAAUAUACAAUUAGUUUAUCAUUUUCACUCAUUUGUCAGAUUUAAAUUGCAUUGCAAUGCUGGGAAAGCGUUUUAAGCACCAGGUGU